rnacentral:lncRNA from 1 species
AUGUCCAGCAUCCCUGACCCCAGAGCAUCCCCGACGUCCCCUCCCAGGAAGCUCAGGCCCCUCACCACCUGCCGCCCCCCGCCCCCGCCUCCAUCCUCCACCAGUGAGAAGCCGCUGCUGGUGGACCUGCAGGCCGGGGAGCCCGGAUUCCCUGGCCACGCCCGGGCUGGCAGGAGCGCCCGUGAGCACCUGCCCGUGCCCGCUGGAGCCCGUGCGGCCUCUCCGUCGGGCGGUCUCCUAAUGGGAGCUCUCCUCUCCCCCUCGGAACUCUGGCGGGCUGGCCUCACACGCCCCUCGGGAGCUGGACGACGGCUCAGCCCCAGGGCCCCCGGGUGCAGACUGACCAGUCCUGGCCCGGGCUUCGGCUCCGGGACCCCCGCGCCGGCGGAUAGCGGGAGCCCGGAGACCCCCGUCCCUCCCGGCAAGCCCGGCUCCUUCCCUGAGUUCCCAUUUCCUGGCCCUCCCCCCGGUGCCUCGGGCCCGCUCCACGGAGCCCGUCCGGCCGCCCCCGCUGGCCUGCAGGGGGCGUCAUGCCCCGGACCGCGCGCCCAGCGCCGACGUGGAGCGGAAGAGCGAGCCCGGUGCCGGCGGGAAGAGCGAGGGGGUGAGGGGGGGCGGGGCCGGGCGGAAGCCCCGCGCGCAGCCUCAGGCGGCGCCCGUCACUUCUGCGCACGCGCGCGGCGGGAGGUGGGGGGAGGGAAGAGGCGAGCCGCACGCACGCCCGCGCAUGCGCUCUGGCGCCGAGCGUGUGCGGGAGCGCCCGAGCCCGGCGACCUCUGCCGUGCGGCGCUGCCGAGUUUGUGGAGCGCGGGCCGGGUCCCGGGGAGCCUGGGUCGCGCUCGGCGCGUGGCCCGCGCGGGAGUCCUGCCUUCUCAGCUGACCGCUGGGCGGAAGGUGUGCGCUCCCAGGAGAGGGGCCCGGGAGGUGGCCGCGGGCCGCCGUCGCGUGCUAGGCAACUUGGCGCGCGCAGCCGGCGUGGAGCGGCCGUGGGCGGGCCGAGGGUCAUCCAGCCCGGAGCGCAGGCCACCGGACGUGGCGGAGAGCAAACGUGGGAAUCCCCGGGACGGACCUUUCCGCAGCCGAACAGGUGAGGGGUGUCCUAGGACCAGGGGGCUCCCGCGAGAACGGCACGGAGGCCGGGAGGGGAGGAAGGCGGGGCUUGCGGCCGUGGGAACCUCGCCUCUGCUGGGACCCAGGCUUGCUGCUGAGCACGGGCUCGGCCGCCCGUCGGGGGUUGAAGCCACAGACUCACUCGCUUCUUUUCAAGAGAUGGGGGUUUAUUGCAAACAGGCACACAUGCUCAGGCGCCCCGGCGAGGCAUGCACGUGGGAUGCGGCCCGCCGGCGGGGUGGGAGGACAAGAGGACAGGAGGGCCGCGCGGAGCCGCAGGCGCGGCCAGGCCUGGGUGGGAGCUGGCGCUGGGGAAAGACGGGCGUGGGGCACGGGCUUGGGGGCCUCCUGAGCCGCAGCUGA